rnacentral:rRNA from 1 species
UAGGGAAUCUUCCACAAUGGGCGCAAGCCUGAUGGAGCAACGCCGCGUGAGUGAAGAAGGUUUUCGGAUCGUAAAGCUCUGUUGUAAGAGAAGAACGAGUGUGAGAGUGGAAAGUUCACACUGUGACGGUAUCUUACCAGAAAGGGACGGCUAACUACGUGCCAGCAGCCGCGGUAAUACGUAGGUCCCGAGCGUUGUCCGGAUUUAUUGGGCGUAAAGCGAGCGCAGGCGGUUAGAUAAGUCUGAAGUUAAAGGCUGUGGCUUAACCAUAGUACGCUUUGGAAACUGUUUAACUUGAGUGCAAGAGGGGAGAGUGGAAUUCCAUGUAUAGCGGUGAAAUGCGUAGAUAUAUGGAGGAACACCGGUGGCGAAAGCGGCUCUCUGGCUUGUAACUGACGCUGAGGCUCGAAAGCGUGGGGAGCAAACAGGAUUAGAUACCCUGGUAGUCCACGCCGUAAACGAUGAGUGCUAGGUGUUAGACCCUUUCCGGGGUUUAGUGCCGCAGCUAACGCAUUAAGCACUCCGCCUGGGGAGUACGACCGCAAGGUUG